AUAGAUACACGAGCACAUGUUCACCUUUCCUUAACCCUGCUGCAAAUAGACAAAACUCUUACAAAGAGCCCAAAGAGUACAUUUCCCUGGAUGGAGACAGUCUGACCACAGCCGCCCUGGUCAGCUUGGGUCAAGGCCUUUUCAAAAUAAAGUUAACCCCUGAAGCUGAGGAGAAAACCAAAAAAUGCCGAGAGGUUAUUGACGCUGUCAUUAGAGAAGACAGAGGUAGGUA